rnacentral:rRNA from 2 species
GCUGGUGCCCAAGCCCAAGGGGAAACACCUGAUCCCAUUCCGAACUCAGUAGUGAAGUCCUUGGGGCCGAUGGUAGUCCUACCGGGCGAGAGUAGGUCAGUGCCAGCU